rnacentral:rRNA from 1 species
UACGUAGGGUGCAAGCGUUAAUCGGAAUUACUGGGCGUAAAGCGUGCGCAGGCGGUGGCUCAAGCCAGGCGUGAAAUCCCCGGGCUCAACCCGGGAACUGCGUCCGAUACUGGGAGGCUUGAAUCCGGGAGAGGGAUGUGGAAUUCCAGGUGUAGCGGUGAAAUGCGUAGAUAUCUGGAGGAACACCGGUGGCGAAGGCGGCAUCCUGGACCGGUAUUGACGCUGAGGUGCGAAAGCGUGGGGAUCAAACAGGG